AGCGGGGGAGUAGCAAUACUCCCGCCGGCGACCGGCGCACGGGUGAGUAACACGUAUGAAACCUGCCCGUAGCAGGGGGGGAUAAGCGGAAGAAAUUCCGUCUAAUACCGCGUAACAACCCUUGGAGGCAUCUCCUCGGGUUUAAAGGAAGCGAUUCCGGCUACGGAUGGUCAUGCGUCGCAUUAGCUGGUUGGCGGGGUAACGGCCCACCAAGGCGACGAUGCGUAGGGGUUCUGAGAGGAAGGUCCCCCACACUGGUACUGAGACACGGACCAGACUCCUACGGGAGGCAGCAGUGAGGAAUAUUGGUCAAUGGCCGCAGGGCUGAACCAGCCAAGUCGCGUGAGGGAUGACGGUCCUAUGGAUUGUAAACCUCUUUUGUCAGGGAGCAAAGGGCGCCACGUGUGGCGCUAUGCGAGUACCUGAAGAAAAAGCAUCGGCUAACUCCGUGCCAGCAGCCGCGGUAAUACGGAGGAUGCGAGCGUUAUCCGGAUUUAUUGGGUUUAAAGGGUGCGCAGGCGGAAUGUCAAGUCAGCGGUAAAAUUUCGGGGCUCAACCCCGUCGUGCCGUUGAAACUGGCGUUCUUGAGUGAGCGAGAAGUAUGCGGAAUGCGUGGUGUAGCGGUGAAAUGCAUAGAUAUCACGCAGAACUCCGAUUGCGAAGGCAGCAUACCGGCGCUCAACUGACGCUCAUGCACGAAAGCGUGGGUAUCGAACA
rnacentral:rRNA from 1 species